GAAAUGCUAUAAGUAAUGUGAAUUGCAGAAUUCAGUGAAUCAUCUAAUCUUUGAACGCACCUUGCGCUCCUUGGUAUUCCUUGGAGCAUGCCUGUUUGAGUAUCAUGAAAUCUUCAAAGUAAAUCUUUUGUUAACUCAAUUGGUUUCUACUUUGGUAUUGGAGGUCUUUGCAGCUUCACACCUGCUCCUCUUUGUUCAUUAGCUGGAUCUCAGUGUUAUGCUUGGUUCCACUCGGCGUGAUAAGUUAUCUAUCGCUGAGGACACUGUAAAAGGUGGCCAAGGUAAAUGCAGAUGAAACGCUUCUAAUAGUCCAUUGACUUGGACAAUACUUUUAUGAUCUGAUCUCAAAUCAGGUAGGACUACCCGCUGAACUUAAGC
rnacentral:misc_RNA from 1 species